UGAGGAAUUUUGCGCAAUGGGGGAAACCCUGACGCAGCAACGCCGCGUGAGUGAAGAAGGCUUUCGGGUCGUAAAGCUCUGUCAAGAGGGAAGAAAGUGGGAGAUGGUAAUACUGUUUUCUAUUGACGGUACCUCUGAAGGAAGCACCGGCUAACUCCGUGCCAGCAGCCGCGGUAAUACGGGGGGUGCAAGCGUUAUUCGGAUUUAUUGGGCGUAAAGAGCGCGUAGGCGGUUUAUCAAGUCAGAUGUGAAAGCCCUGGGCUCAACCUGGGAAGUGCAUUUGAAACUAGUAGACUUGAGUAUGGGAGAGGGAAGUGGAAUUCCUGGUGUAGAGGUGAAAUUCGUAGAUAUCAGGAGGAACACCGGUGGCGAAGGCGACUUCCUGGACCAAUACUGACGCUGAGGCGCGAAGGCGUGGGGAGCAAACAGG
rnacentral:rRNA from 1 species